rnacentral:rRNA from 1 species
UGGGGAAUAUUGCACAAUGGGCGCAAGCCUGAUGCAGCCAUGCCGCGUGUAUGAAGAAGGCCUUCGGGUUGUAAAGUACUUUCAGCGGGGAGGAAGGUGUUGAGGUUAAUAACCUCAGCAAUUGACGUUACCCGCAGAAGAAGAACCGGCUAACUCCGUGCCAGCAGCCGCGGUAAUACGGAGGGUGCAAGCGUUAAUCGGAAUUACUGGGCGUAAAGCGCACGCAGGCGGUCUGUCAAGUCGGAUGUGAAAUCCCCGGGCUCAACCUGGGAACUGCAUUCGAAACUGGCAGGCUAGAGUCUUGUAGAGGGGGGUAGAAUUCCAGGUGUAGCGGUGAAAUGCGUAGAGAUCUGGAGGAAUACCGGUGGCGAAGGCGGCCCCCUGGACAAAGACUGACGCUCAGGUGCGAAAGCGUGGGGAGCAAACA